rnacentral:rRNA from 1 species
GACGAACGCUGGCGGCGUGGAUUAGGCAUGCAAGUCGAACGGUAGGAUCCUUUCGGGGAUCUGAGAGUGGCGAACGGGUGAGUAACACGUAGGUGAUCUACCCUCAAGACGGGGACAACCCAGGGAAACUUGGGCUAAUACCGGAUGUGAGCUAUCGCGAGAUAGUUUGAAAGGUGGCUUCGGCUGCCGCUUGAGGAUGAGCCUGCGUCCUAUUAGCUAGUUGGUGAGGUAACGGCUCACCGAGGCAGUGAUAGGUAGGCGGCCUUAACGGGUGGUCGCCCACACUGGGAUUGAGAUACGGCCCAGACUCCUACGGGAGGCAGCAGUCGAGAAUAGUCUACAAUGGUCGAAAGACUGAUAGUGCGACGCCGCGUGAACGAAGAAGCCCUUCGGGGUGUAAAGUUCUUUUAUAUGUGAGCAGUGACACCCAUAUUAAUAGUAUGGGUGUAGAGAUAUUAGCAUAUGAAUAAGCAACGGCUAACUCCGUGCCAGCCAGCCGG